rnacentral:rRNA from 1 species
CCCUUAGAUGUUCUGGGCCGCACGCGCGCUACACUGAUGCAUUCAACGAGUUUAUAACCUUGGCUGAUAGGCUUGGGUAAUCUUUUAAACGUGCAUCGUGAUGGGGAUAGAUUGUUGCAAUUAUCAAUCUUGAACGAGGAAUUCCUAGUAAACGCAAGUCAUCAGCUUGCAUUGAUUACGUCCCUGCCCUUUGUACACACCGCCCGUCGCACCUACCGAUUGAAUGGUCCGGUGAAAUCUCGGGACGGCGGCUUGGUCGCUUGCGUCCGACUGCUGAAACUUGAUUAAACCAUAUCAUUUAGAGGAAGGUGAAGUCGUAACA